rnacentral:tRNA from 1 species
GGAUCGUUAGCUUCAAUUGGAUAGAGCGCGGAGCUUCGGACUCCGAGGUUGCAAGUUCGAGUCUUGCACGAUCCACCA